CACACUCCAAGCGAAGCUUGAUGUUGGGCGAUGCGGUCCCCUAGGGACCGCACGCCUGGAACGCGUGGGCGCCCGUCGUCGGAACGUGAACGUAGCAAGACGUCAGUCAAGUCGUUCAGCAAGCUCUGGCGGAGGGCAGCCUCAUCUCUUUCUUUAAGAA
rnacentral:misc_RNA from 1 species